rnacentral:rRNA from 1 species
AUUAUCAGCUUUAACCCCAUUUACACAUGCAAGCCUCCGCACCCCUGUGAGGAUGCCCUCAAUCCCCCGUCCGGGGACGAGGAGCCGGUAUCAGGCACACUUUUUAGCCCAAGACGCCUUGCUUAGCCACACCCCCAAGGGAAUUCAGCAGUGAUAGACAUUAAGCCAUAAGUGAAAACUUGACUUAGUCAGGGUUAAGAGGGCCGGUAAAACUCGUGCCAGCCACCGCGGUUAUACGAGAGGCCCUAGUUGAUUCACUCGGCGUAAAGAGUGGUUAUGGAGAAUAAAAUACUAAAGCCGAAGACCCCUUAGGCCGUCAUACGCACCUAGGGGCUCGAAUUAUAGACACGAAAGUAGCUUUACCCCUUCCCACCAGAACCCACGACAGCUGGGACACAAACUGGGAUUAGAUACCCCACUAUGCCCCGCCGUAAACUUAGAUAUUCCAGUACAACAAAUAUCCGCCAGGGGACUACGAGCGCCAGCUUAAAACCCAAAGGACUUGGCGGUGCUUCAGA